rnacentral:rRNA from 1 species
ACCCCCGCACAAGCGGUGGAUCAUGUUGUUUAAUUCGAUGAUACGCGAAGAACCUUACCAGGUCUUGACAUCCCCCGCGAUGCUUUAGAGAUAAAGCGGAGGUAUUCGGGGAGACAGGUGGUGCAUGGUUGUCGUCAGCUCGUGUCGUGAGAUGUUGGGUUAAGUCCCGCAACGAGCGCAACCCCUAUUGCUAGUUACCAUCAUUAAUUUGGGGACUCUAGCGAGACUGCCAGUGAUAAACUGGAGGAAGGUGGGGAUGACGUCAAAUCAUCAUGCCCCUUAUGACCUGGGCUACAAACGUGAUACAAUGGCUGGAACAAAGGGAUGCGAAGCAGUGAUGUGGAGCGAAACCCAUAAAAACAGUCUCAGUUCGGAUUGAAGUCUGCAACUCGACUUCAUGAAGUCGGAAUCGCUAGUAAUCGCGGAUCAGAACGCCGCGGUGAAUACGUUCUCGGGGUUU